GAAUUUCGCCCACCAUAACGAUUUUUGAGAUAGAGCUAUUUUUAAUUUUAUCGCCGACCGCGGCGGCAAAAACGGCAUUGCCAUAUCAAAGAAAGUUUAUUUUCAGUAAAAUCUUUAGAAAUUUCAAAACAAAUUCCAGAAAAUGUCUGCGUUGGCAAUAUUAAGAGUGUUUCUGCUUGGUUUCGUCAUUUCAAUUUCAAAAUCAAAACAUUGUAAUAUUUUUAACAGCGAUGUAUGCACUAGGUUGCUAUAAGCAAAUAAAAUGGAUUUAAACGAACAAUUAAUAGAGGAAAUACGUAAAUAUGAGUGCCUAUACAAUUUAUCAUCACCGGAUUACAAAAAUGUGUUUAAAAAAACCCAAAUUUGGGAAGAAGUAGCUAAAAUAAUAAAUUUGCCAGAAGACAGCUGUAGGAAACGAUGGAAAGGACUGCGUGACACGUACAGAAAAUGUAAACGUGCACAGCGACUGGAUUCCGGCAGUGGUGCUCCUAUUCCAUGCAAAUCAUGCAUUUCAUAGCGGUCAUUUGUUUCUUAAGAGCGAAGGACGUACUUAAAGAACAUAUGUAUAUUUAACAACACGAAGAGUAUAGAGGGGAUAGAUUCCGUAAGUAUAUUUCAAACAACUAAAAUAAGAUAUAUUUUUAUAAUAAAUAGUCACCCACUUUCACAGGGUGGAUGGGCAAACAAUAAA